rnacentral:rRNA from 1 species
UACGUAGGGUGCGAGCGUUGUCCGGAAUUACUGGGCGUAAAGAGCUCGUAGGUGGUUUGUCGCGUUGUCCGUGAAAACUCACAACUCAAUUGUGGGCGUGCGGGCGAUACGGGCAGACUGGAGUACUGCAGGGGAGACUGGAAUUCCUGGUGUAGCGGUGGAAUGCGCAGAUAUCAGGAGGAACACCUGCGGUGUAGACGGCUUACUGGACCAUAACUGACGCUGAGGCACGAAAGCGUGGGGAGCGAACAGG